UGGGGAAUUUUGGACAAUGGGCGAAAGCCUGAUCCAGCAAUGCCGCGUGUGUGAAGAAGGCCUUCGGGUUGUAAAGCACUUUUGUCCGGAAAGAAAUCCUUGGCUCUAAUACAGUCGGGGGAUGACGGUACCGGAAGAAUAAGCACCGGCUAACUACGUGCCAGCAGCCGCGGUAAUACGUAGGGUGCAAGCGUUAAUCGGAAUUACUGGGCGUAAAGCGUGCGCAGGCGGUUUGCUAAGACCGAUGUGAAAUCCCCGGGCUCAACCUGGGAACUGCAUUGGUGACUGGCAGGCUAGAGUAUGGCAGGAGGGGGGUAGAAUUCCACGUGUGAGCAGUGAAAUGCGUAGAGAUGUGGAGGAAUACCGAUGGCGAAGGCAGCCCCUGGGCCAAUACUGACGCUCAUGCACGAAAGCGUGGGGAGC
rnacentral:rRNA from 1 species